GAUGAACGCUGGCGGCGUGCUUAACACAUGCAAGUCGAACGGAAAGGCCCAAGCUUGCUUGGGUACUCGUGUGGCGAACGGGUGAGUAACACGUGGGUGAUCUGCCCUGCACUUCGGGAUAAGCCUGGGAAACUGGGUCUAAUACCGGAUAGGACGAUGGUUUGGAUGCCAUUGUGGAAAGUUUUUUCGGUGUGGGAUGAGCUCGCGGCCUAUCAGCUUGUUGGUGGGGUAAUGGCCUACCAAGGCGUCGACGGGUAGCCGGCCUGAGAGGGUGUACGGCCACAUUGGGACUGAGAUACGGCCCAGACUCCUACGGGAGGCAGCAGUGGGGAAUAUUGCACAAUGGGCGCAAGCCUGAUGCAGCGACGCCGCGUGGGGGAUGACGGCCUUCGGGUUGUAAACUCCUUUCGCUAGGGACGAAGCGUUUUGUGACGGUACCUGGAGAAGAAGCACCGGCUAACUACGUG
rnacentral:rRNA from 1 species